GGACACGAAGGCAUUCCAGUGUGCAGUCUCUGUAAAACCCACCAGAACCAGUUCAUAAUAAGUGAUCUCUCAUCAGAAGAAAGUUACAGAAAUCAGUCUGUUGUCCAAUCAAGGCUCGUGGAACAGGGUGUCAGUUAGUGAGCAUCUGGUGGAACUCCUAAAGAAGAAAUCAUCCAUUCAGUGAGAGCAAAUGAACACUCCAACAGACUGAAACAAAGCAUCUUUACAGGAGAUGUGAAUGCGAGAAAGCAAAGAGAACUACAGUCAGGGUCUCCGCUGGCAUGGCCCAAGCCCACCGUGGCAUGAUCCAGAGAGACGAGUCAGCAGAGCACUAUGGGCAGCUCCCAUACUCUUCGCAGAUCAACAAGCCAGCAUAUAACCCAGGGAGAUAGAUAAUAGUGAUGCUGUGCUCUGUAGAGGGUAGUGGCAACAGUGGGAUUUCUUCUGGAAUAAAUCUGUAGUGAGCCAGAUGUUUCUGCUGACUAUAUUACUUCUGACAGUGUAUAAUCCAAAAUUGUUUCCUUGGCCUUCCAAAAAGUUUUAUAAGCUCCCUAACGGCUGCAAUAAAU
rnacentral:lncRNA from 1 species